rnacentral:rRNA from 1 species
AUACGGAGGGUGCAAGCGUUAAUCGGAAUUACUGGGCGUAAAGCGUGCGCAGGCGGUUUGUUAAGUCAGAUGUGAAAGCCCCGGGCUCAACCUGGGAACUGCAUUUGAAACUGGCAAACUAGAGUGUGGUAGAGGGAAGUGGAAUUCCUCAUGUAGCGGUGAAAUGCGUAGAUAUGAGGAGGAACACCAGUGGCGAAGGCGACUUCCUGGACCAACACUGACGCUCAUGUACGAAAGCGUGGGUAGCGAACAGGAUUAGAAACCCCUGUAGUCC